UAGGGAAUAUUGGUCAAUGGAGGCAACUCCGAACCAGCCAUGCCGCGUGUAGGAAGAAGGCGUUCUGCGUUGUAAACUACUUUUGAUUGGGAACAAAUGACUCUUGCGAGAGUAGCUGGGUGUACCAAUAGAAUAAGCCACGGCUAACUACGUGCCAGCAGCCGCGGUAAUACGUAGGUGGCAAGCGUUGUCCGGAUUUAUUGGGUUUAAAGGGGUGCGUAGGCGGCUUAAUAAGUCAGUGGUGAAAGCCGAUCGCUUAACGAUCGAACUGCCAUUGAUACUGCUAGGCUUGAGUAUAGAUGAGGUAGGCGGAAUUGACAGUGUAGCGGUGAAAUGCAUAGAUAUUGUCAAGAACACCAAUUGCGAAGGCAGCUUACUAAGUUAUAACUGACGCUGAGGCACGAAAGUGCGGGGAUCAAACAG
rnacentral:rRNA from 1 species